rnacentral:lncRNA from 1 species
CAACGGCGAGAGAAGCUCGGCUGGGAUUGCGAUACGGGGUGAGACAGUCACAUGGGCUCCGGGAGAGAGGGGGUCUGAACGCCCGAGUUGGAGUAUCUAUGCAGACCUUCCUGAUAACAAAUAACUAGGAGGAUAAGGGGUUCCUCCUGACCUGAGGCAGAAAGACGGGAGGAACUGUCUGCUUUGCGAGGUCAGCCAAAAUCUCCCCGCCACCGGGCCCCUAGGGAAUUCUUGGAGGUGGAAAGGAAUCAGGCUUCCCCCAUCAGACCAGGAGCUUCCUGAAGGCUUGAAAUACAUCUCUUCCCCUCUUCUGUAUCCUCUUUAUGGUGCCCAGGAAAGGGUUCUUUUUGCAAGUGGGGAAGGGAGAAGAAAUACUUUCCUCUUGAUAAAAUCAAUGUUCAGAGGUGGUCUGGGUUGCUCAGAGUUAGAAGAGGACCUGGAUGCCAGAAGAUUCCUCCCAAGAAUUUCCUGAGACCUGGAGAAAAUUCUCAUUCCUAGAAUGACUCAAGAGGCAGAGGAAUUAUCCUGAGAUCACCUGGAGACCUGCAGGCAACAGGAGAAGGGAAAAGAAGAUUAAUCUGAUAAGACCAUGUCUACUCAAGUAAAGAGACCUGGCAUGUACAUAGCUAUCUUGGUUUUUAUUAUCAACUUGGGGCUAGAACUCAAAAUCAGCUCCAUCUACAGGGAAAGGUUCCUGUUGUCACCAAGGGCAUGCAUCUUUGCAUCUUCUCUCCAGGCUCCAGUCUCAACACCUGCUGAUGUUCUUUAUAGAGGAAUGGAGUCUAAGACCGAAAGAGAAAAGCUAAAAUGAGUAUGACACUUCAGGAAUCCUGGACUGAUCAUCAGUUAAAUUCACAAACAGCUCCAUCACCUAGGGUCCUUAUAUUGGCCAAGGGCUACUCUCCUGAGUCAACAAGGGACUCUUGGUAUACUGAAACCUCUAGCUUCCACUUGCUGGGAGAUUUCUGCAUUAACAAAAGCAACACUUUUAGAGAAUAGGUAUUUCUUCAUGAACUGAGAAAAGAAAGAAGAUUGGUGAGGGUGAUUUUGGAAAGAAGGAAACAGGCGGUCACAAAGAAAUGGGAGUAUGGAGAUGUUUCUGAGCAACCAGGGACAGAGCAUCAGACUGGAGCAGCCUGAUCUCAUGGACCAUGACCUAUUGUGCUGGAGAAGCCAGAGCUGCAGCCACAUUCAGAUGACCAGAUCACAUGAGAUGCUCCACAUGGAGAGACUGGCAGCCCAGAGUUGGAAUAGAAGUAAAUCCAGCCCGAGGACUACAGGAGUUAUCCAUGUCAGCCACUGAGAGCGUGAUAAGAGGAGGAGGCAAAUGACUGACAAUUUCCCCAUCCCUGCCACUGAUAAAAUGAUUAAUAGUUUUCACAUCCCCUUGUAAGUUUCCUUGGUAGGUUUCUUCCAUAUUUACCACCUUUGAAAGUUCAGGAAAUUAUACCCAUUUGUGAAUGAGAGCCAACUAGGUGGCUCGAUGGGUGGAGCAUUGGGCGUAGGGUCAGGAAGACCUGAGUUCAAAUCCAGUCUCAGACACGUACUAACUGUAUGACUCUGGGCAAGUCAUUUAACCUCUGCCUGCCUCAGUUUCCCCAACUAUAAAAUGGAGAUCAUAAUAGCACCUACCUUCCAAGGUCGUUGUGAGGACCAAAUGAGAUAGUACUUAUAAAGUGCUUAACACAAUGCCUGACACAUAGUAG